GAUGAACGCUGGCGGCGUGCCUAAUACAUGCAAGUCGAGCGAACGGACGAUAAGCUUGCUUCUCUCAUGUUAGCCGCGGACGGGUGUGUAACACGUGGAUAACCUACCUAUAAUAGUGGGAUAACUUCGGGAAACCGUAGCUAACACCGGAUAAUCUCUUGCACCGUAUGGUUCGAUAGUGAAAGACGGUCUUGCUGUCACUUAUCGAUGCAUCCGCGCUGCAUGAGCUAGUUGGUAAGGUAACGGCUUACCAAGGCAACGAUGCAUAGCCGACCUCAGAGGGGGAUCGGCCACACUGGAACUGGGACGCGGUCCAGGCGCCUACGGGAGGCAGCAGUAGGGUAUCGGCCGCAGUAGGCGGGAGCCUGACAGAGCAGCGGCGCGUGAGAGGUAGAGAUCUUCGGAGCGUGAAACCCUGCUAUGGGGGGAAAACAUAUGUGGAAGGUACUGUGCAGAGCUUGACGGUACCUGGUCAGAAAGCCACGGCUAACUACGUG
rnacentral:rRNA from 1 species